rnacentral:lncRNA from 1 species
UGACUUAUCAUCGCUUCCCCGACUAAAUGCGCCAGACGACAUUCGGCUAAACGCGCCGGAUGCCAUUCAAUUGGACGCGUCGAAAGAUAUCCGACUGUCGGAACCUAUGAAAUAAUCCGACCGUCGAGCCCUGCCCGAUGUUCGAUCGGCUUUCGACUCAACGAAUACGCCCGACUCACAAUCGGACGAAGGAUGCCCGACUUAAGCCCUCGA